AGAGCCUCCUGAUCUAGCAGCCAAGACUCCCCCUGACCUUUGGCCAUGUACCCCAACCCUCUCAUCUACUGCACCUGCUGGGACCCCUGGAACUUGGGACCACGGAAGCUAAUCAAGACCCCUCAACUACCACGCAAGAACUCCACAGGGAGUUCCAAGCUAACUCCUCUUGUACCAGCUCCAAAAAAUCACAAUUACCUCCAACCAACAAAACCUGUUGUUUCCCCAAAAAUGAAAAUCCAUUCAGCAAGGCAAGAAGAGACUAAUAAAUCAUUUUAUUGAUCAACGUGUCACCUGGCUAUCAACUUGUUCGGAAUCGGGAACAGAUUUCUGUCACCUUAGGGGAUGAGAUGUUUGAUAGGAAAAAGCGGUGGGAAUCGGAGAUCCCGGACAAAGGCAGAUUUUCCAGGACCAACAUCAUUUCUGAC
rnacentral:lncRNA from 1 species